rnacentral:rRNA from 1 species
GAUGAACGCUGGCGGCGUGCCUAAUACAUGCAAGUCGAGCGAACAGACGAGGAGCUUGCUGCUUUGACGUUAGCGGCGCACGGGUGAGUAACACGUGGAUAACCUACCUAUAAGACUGGGAUAACUUCGGGAAACCGGAGCUAAUACCGGAUGAUAUUUUGAACCGCAUGGUUCAAUAGUGAAAGACGGCCUUGCUGUCACUUAUAGAUGGAUCUGGGCUGCAUUAGCUAGUUGGUAAGGUAACGGCUUACCACGGCAACGAUGCAUAGCCGACCUGAGAGGGGGGUAGGCCACACGGGAGGGGGGACACGGUCCAGGCGCCUACGGUAGGCAGCAGUAGGGAACCGUCCGCAGUGGUGGAAAGCAUGACGGAGCGACGCGGAGUGAGAGAUGAAGGCGUUCGGAGCGGGAUGCUCUGUUAUGAGGGAAGAACAGAUGUGUAAGUAACUGUGGAGUGCGUGACGGUACCGAAUCAGAAAGCCACGGCUAACUACGUG